AUCGCUUCUCGGCCUUUUGGCUAAGAUCAUGUGUAGUAUCUGUCUGUGAUAAGCAAAUUGCUCUUUUCUCAUGUUUGUGUUACUUUUAUUUGUAGUGUUCACUUGUAUUUGUAGUGUCACCUUGCGCCGUACACUCACCUAUUGCCCUCCAGAUACUCU
rnacentral:snRNA from 1 species